GUGCUGCACAUACAAUUAUAAUCAGCAGCAAGAAAGAAUGGAGUUAUUGUUGCUGCUAAUUCACAGCAACCAAAUCAGAGGAACUUUCUCUAUUUUUGAGCUCAGAAAGCAUUCAGCUGUUUGUUUAUUCAAUUGUGUUUGGCUGCACACCUUUGCAGAUGUAUGCCUGUUCAUCAGGAAGCACAUUAAGACCUGUUGCAAGGAAGAAAAAACUAAACC
rnacentral:misc_RNA from 1 species